CCGGGUUCUAAACCAGUGUCUACUCUGUCUAUGCGUUCUUCCCAGGAGUUGUCCCACCAGCCGGUCUUGGCUCUUCCCUGUCUACGGCACUUGCAUGUCUUUUCUGCUCCUCCCUUCUGACUGGUUCUGAUCUGGCUCAGGUACUUGACCCUGAGCAAUUUGAGCCAGCCCCUGAAAUCAAUACUCGUGGUUCCGCAUGGGAACUCACCCCCGGUUCGCCCUCUCCAGGCUGAGGUGGCUGCUGGGGCUACGGCUGUUCCCGGGGCUUCGAACUGCCGCUGCAUAGCUUUCUGCCCUGCUGGAUUGCCCCCUAUCAACUUCUGCGAGACUGACCUAGAGACCGCAUCCUGCAAGUCAUCAGUGGAACUAUUUGUAAACAGACUGGGUUCAGUGAAAUCUGCCUAUGAAUAUAAUGGCUCUACGGAGAAUCUCUUUCUAACAGGGAAGUUACAGCCCCUAUGUAGAGAAUUGUCUUUGCUGACCUCUUCAUCAUGAAUCUAAUUCUUUGCAUGGAAGGAUCAUUAGCUGCCAUCUCCUUUGGUACUCUGUUUAGAUGUCUAUUUCACACAAACCAGAUCCUGUGGAAGAUUCCUGAACAGAGCUUCUUCACAAAACCAUUUCUUGGCAUCGUAAUUUGUGGCAUUUUAUCCUCUGGCUGUAUUUUUAUUCAACUCUUUUUCAUUUUGAAGAGUAUUUGUGGACUUCCAUGGGAAGUUUCAUUUAGAAUUCCUCUACCAAAAACAUUUUGAAGGCCAUUGACUGGCUCUUCAUAUAUACUGAGCC